UGCACAGAGGUUCCGGUGGGGAGGCCUUUUUUCUGGUUGCUAGGUAACAUCUCUCCACGGGUUCAAAUCCAGCCCUUCCAGCAGCCACAUCAUCUGCUUGACUGUGUUCCUGGGACGGCACAGCCCCUUAUUUGAAACGGUUUAUAUUCAUCCACAAUAUGCAUGUGUAUUACUUACUUACUCAAGUAUCCCUUAGGGAGGGACCUGGGGAAGGAACCAGCGCCGUACCAGCUGCCUCCUCUGACUUCAUCAAAUCCUGCAAGCACGCCUCCAAUGUACGGAUGUAGUUGUCCCCGACAGGCUCAGGUUGUGGCACAGUAACAGGGUCCCAGGCAACCGCCAGCGCCGUGCUCUUUGGACUUUGCAACCUUCAAAAUUGUGAGUCUAAUAAAUGUAUCUUCCUAAUGCA